AACGAACGCUGGCGGCAGGCUUAACACAUGCAAGUCGAACGAACAUAUCAAUAUGUUAGUGGCAGACGGGUGAGUAACGCGUGGGAAUGUGCCCUUUAGUUCGGAAUAACUCAGGGAAACUUGAGCUAAUACCGGAUAAGCCCGAGAGGGGAAAGAUUUAUCGCUGAAGGAGCAGCCCGCGUCUGAUUAGCCAGUUGGUGAGGUAAUGGCUCACCAAGGCGACGAUCAGUAGCUGGUCUGAGAGGAUGAUCAGCCACACUGGGACUGAGACACGGCCCAGACUCCUACGGGAGGCAGCAGUGGGGAAUAUUGGACAAUGGGGGCAACCCUGAUCCAGCCAUGCCGCGUGAGUGAUGAAGGCCUUAGGGUUGUAAAACUCUUUUAUCCGGGAAGAUAAUGACUGUACCGGAAGAAUAAGCCCCGGCUAACUUCGUGCCAGCCGCCGCAGUAAGAC
rnacentral:rRNA from 1 species